AAAUUGAAGAGUUUGAUCAUGGCUCAGAUUGAACGCUGGCGGCAGGCCUAACACAUGCAAGUCGAACGGUAACAGGAAGC
rnacentral:rRNA from 16 species